UACGUAGGGGGCUAGCGUUGUCCGGAAUCAUUGGGCGUAAAGAGCGUGUAGGCGGUCCGGUAAGUCCGCUGUGAAAGUCGGGGGCUCAACCCUUGAAUGCCGGUGGAUACUGUCGGGCUAGAGUCCGGAAGAGGCGAGUGGAAUUCCUGGUGUAGCGGUGAAAUGCGCAGAUAUCAGGAGGAACACCAAUGGCGAAGGCAGCUCGCUGGGACGGUACUGACGCUGAGGCGCGAAAGCGUGGGGAGCAAACAGG
rnacentral:rRNA from 1 species